UAUUGCAGUACAAAACACGAUACUUUGUUUUAAGUCAUGGAUUAAUCCAUUUAUGAAAGACAAAACAUAAAAGUGAAUGUACAACUAAAAUCGAAGAAUAUAUUUACAGACAGACAGAUUGCUUUGUUUUGCAUGAAAAAAAACACAGUCAAAGAGCAGUUAAGAUUUCAACAAUAUAUCAUGGCAUCAUGUUGAACCCGCAAAAAACUCGUGAGUGUUGUCCAUUCUGUGCCCAAGUGACGGGCUGAAUGUCAGUGAUAUUUUUGGUAUAUUGACAGUCAAAUGUUGACAUGAAUGAAAGCAACAAAGGCAAUCCCACUGAACAGUCAUUGGUAAAUUAAUACGUUUCGUUCCUUUAGGGUGUGUCAUAUCACAGUCUUUGCCCUCAAGUAUCCAUCAAAAGCAGCCGACCCUGUCUCCAAUGAAUCUCUCUGUUCGAACGGGGCACCCCUUUUGUCUCGAGGCUGACGGAAAUCAAUUGUGCAGAUGUACAGUUGCAUUGGAUUAACCUGCAAACCAGACUCUAUCUUGAUGUAUGAAGGCUGGAUGUUUUUCCUGUCACCUGCGGAGAGUGAAGGAAGAGAUGACCGACCGGAGAAUUGGCCCCUGGGAGAGCAGCGGGACAUCCUGGUGCUAUUAGGCUCGUGGCUAAUAAUAGGUGUUUCAGUCCAGGGAGGAGAUCAAUCAGUGGGAAUCAUGGGGAAUGUUCGGCGCAGCGCUUUUACACAUCAGCCCAGAUGGAUGAAAUUACACUUGUCUGUUUUUAGUUGCAUUACUCCCAAAUUGGUUGUCUACUUUUUUUCUCCCUCUCCCUCACUCUUUCAGUAUUUGCCUCUCCGUCCUUUCUCUCUCCCCUCAUUCAUGUGUCACUGGCCUACUAAAAGGAUUUGGGUGCUUAGCCGCACUCGAUUCUCUGUCACUUGCAUAUGGACUCAGAUAGGAUGACGUGAGGUCUUGUCUUGGGUUGUUCUGGUUCCAAAGAUUGGGCUGGGUUAUGUGAAUUUUGUUCUUUGUAAAAAUGUCAAUUUUAAAUUGUAAAAAAUCUUUAUUUCAGUACACAUUUGAAUGUAACAUUGCAUCUAUUCUACCACCUAUAGGAGGACUAAAACAAGGUGCUUUCUAGGAAUAAUAUCACAGCUCCUGAAAUACAUUGAAUGUAAUGUCAGUAUUUCAAUCUGAUUGUAUCAAAUCUAAAUAAAGAGUUGUGAAAAUAA